rnacentral:rRNA from 1 species
UACGAGGGGGGCGAGCGUUGUUCGGAAUUAUUGGGCGUAAAGAGCUCGUAGGCGGUCUGUUGCGUCGGCUGUGAAAACCCGGGGCUCAACCCCGGGCCUGCAGCCGAUACGGGCAGACUAGAGUUCGGCAGGGGAGACUGGAAUUCCUGGUGUAGCGGUGAAAUGCGCAGAUAUCAGGAGGAACACCGGUGGCGAAGGCGGGUCUCUGGGCCGAUACUGACGCUGAGGCGCGAAAGCCAGGGGAGCGAACGGG